rnacentral:rRNA from 1 species
GAUGAACGCUAGCGGCAGGCCUAACACAUGCAAGUCGAGGGAUAAGCCUUCGGGCUAAGCCCGGUGCACGGGUGCGUAACGCGUAUACAAUCUGCCUUUUAUCCGGGGGAUAGCCCGAAGAAAUUUGGAUUAAUACCCUAUGGUAUAAGAGCACGGCAUCGUGCACUUAUUAAAGCUACGGCGGUAAAAGAUGAGUAUGCGUUCUAUUAGCUAGUUGGAGAGGUAACGGCUCCCCAAGGCGACGAUAGAUAGGGGUUCUGAGAGGGAUGUCCCCCACACUGGUACUGAGAUACGGACCAGACUCCUACGGGAGGCAGCAGUGAGGAAUAUUGGACAAUGGUCGGAAGACUGAUCCAGCCAUGCCGCGUGCAGGAUGACGGCCUUAUGGGUUGUAAACUGCUUUUGUAAGGGAAGAAUAAGGAGUACGUGUACUUUGAUGACGGUACCUUACGAAUAAGCAUCGGCUAACUCCGUG